UACGGGGGGGGGCAAGCGUUGUUCGGAAUUACUGGGCGUAAAGGGCUCGUAGGCGGCCAACUAAGUCCGACGUGAAAUCCCCAGGCUUAACCUGGGAACUGCGUCGGAUACUGGAUGGCUUGGAUUUGGGAGAGGGAUGCGGAAUUCCAGGUGUAGCGGUGAAAUGCGUAGAUAUCGAGAGGAACACCUGCGGCGAAGGCGGGUUGCUGGGCUGACACUGACGCUGAUGCGCGAAAGCCAGGGGAGCGAACGGG
rnacentral:rRNA from 1 species